rnacentral:rRNA from 1 species
AACGCGAAGAACCUUACCUACCCUUGACAUCCUCGGGAGCCGAAAGAGAUUUCGGUGUGCCUUCGGGAACCGAGAGACAGGUGCUGCAUGGCUGUCGUCAGCUCGUGUUGUGAAAUGUUGGGUUAAGUCCCGUAACGAGCGCAACCCUUGUCCCUAUUUGCCAGCGAUUCGGUCGGGAACUCUAGGGAGACUGCCGGUGACAAACCGGAGGAAGGUGGGGACGACGUCAAGUCAUCAUGGCCCUUACGGGUAGGGCUACACACGUGCUACAAUGGUCGGUACAAAGGGUUGCGAGUCCGCGAGGCCAAGCCAAUCCCGUAAAGCCGAUCUCAGUCCGGAUCGGAGUCUGCAACUCGACUCCGUGAAGUCGGAAUCGCUAGUAAUCGUGAAUCAGAAUGUCACGGUGAAUACGUUCCCGGGUCUUGUACACACCG